UACAGAGGGGGCAAGCGUUGUUCGGAAUUACUGGGCGUAAAGGGCGCGUAGGUGGCCUUCUAAGUUGAACGUGAAAUCCCUGGGCUCAACCCAGGAACUGCGUCCAAGACUGGGAGGCUUGAAUCCGGGAGAGGGAUGCGGAAUUCCAGGUGUAGCGGUGAAAUGCGUAGAUAUCUGGAGGAACACCGGUGGCGAAGGCGGCAUCCUGGACCAACACUGACGCUGAGGAGCGAAAGCCAGGGGAGCAAACGGG
rnacentral:rRNA from 1 species